UACGGAGGGUGCAAGCGUUAUCCGGAUUCACUGGGUUUAAAGGGUGCGUAGGCGGGUUGGUAAGUCCGUGGUGAAAUCCCCAAGCUUAAUUUGGGAACUGCCGUGGAUACUAUCAAUCUUGAAUAUCGUGGAGGUAAGCGGAAUAUGUCAUGUAGCGGUGAAAUGCUUAGAUAUGACAUAGAACACCAAUUGCGUAGGCAGCUUACUACACGAUCAUUGACGCUGAGGCACGAAAGCGUGGGGAGCAAACAGG
rnacentral:rRNA from 1 species